AUAGCCUACAGUAUAUAAGGGUCUUCUUUCCAUCAUUACUGCACCAUUACUGCACUGCACCACUUCGGCACUGUGCAGAGCCACAGAUACAAAGAGGCACAACAGUUCAGCCAUGGGUGGAGGAGAGUCAACACCUGCUCCUGCUCCUGCUCCUUCUCCUAAAAGUGAGAUACUUACAACAUUACAGAACAUUGUUUACUCAGAAGAAUACUUUGGUCGUCUACUCAUAAAAAGCAUAAAGAGUAGAUCGAAAGUUGUAAAUACAAUCCUGAACGUUGUCUAAGAUGUAUGAAAAUGCAAAUGUAUAACGACUGAUUAUUCAUUUGUGUUGUGGUUAUAU